rnacentral:misc_RNA from 1 species
GGACUCCUUCCUUCUCCCGCUCUCUUCUUGAUGGUACAGUUUCUGUAAGGACAUAGAAAACUUUUCCAUUCUUUCUCCACCAAUUUCCAAUACCUCUUAUUGCUCAAAGCUCCCUCCUUCAGCUUCAUCAGUCAACAUGUUUCUUCGAAGAAAGCACUCGCAGAAUCAUCAAGAGAAUGAUGCUGCACAACAAGAAGCCAAGGUCAGUGAACUCAAGGCAGCUCUUGGACCUUUAUCUGGACGUAAUUUGAAGUAUUGUACUGAUGCCUGCCUGAGGAGAUAUCUGGAAGCUCGAAACUGGAAUGUUGACAAGGCACACAAAAUGUUAGAAGAGACACUGAAGUGGAGGGCAACUUAUAAGCCUGAAGAAAUCCGCUGGCAUGAAAUAUCACAUGAAGGUGAGACAGGUAAAGUCUUCAGAGCAAAUUUUCAUGAUCGAUAUGGGAGGACUGUGCUUAUGAUGAGGCCAGGGAUGCAGAACACAACAUGUGCAGAAGACAAUAUCCGCCAUUUGGUCUAUAUUAUUGAGAAUAGCAUCCUUAACCUUGCUGAGGGUCAAGAACAAAUGUCUUGGUUAAUAGACUUUACUGGCUUAUCCUUGAGCAACAGUGUCUCGGUCAGAACAGCUCGUGAUAUCAUUAACAUUUUACAGAAUCACUACCCUGAAAGGCUUGCCAUAGCAUUUCUCUAUAAUCCACCAAGAAUUUUUGAAGCAUUCUAUAAGGCUGUCAAGUACUUCCUAGAUACAAAAACUUCCCAGAAGGUGAAAUUUGUUUAUCCAAAGAAUAAAGAUAGUGUGGAGCUCAUGAGGUCUUUCUUUGAUAUUGACAACCUUCCCGGUGAGUUUGGGGGAAAAGCCACUAUGAAGUACGAUCAUGAGGAGUUCUCACGGUUGAUGGCCCAGGAUGAUGUGAAAACUGCUAAGUACUGGGGAUUUGAUGAGAAGCCAACCAACAUUGCUAAUGGCCAUUUGGGUGCUCAGGUGGCCCCAGAGCCAACGCCUCUUGCACCACCAGCUAGCUAAUUUUGUUUGCUUGAUCCUAGUACUUGUAUAAAAGAAAGCCAAAGACACGACAGUGAAGCCUGGAUUAGAUCAACUCGUAGGGACUUCGUGACCGAGUUUGCUGAGAAACUGAAAAUCAUAGUGAGGCUCAGAUGAAAAGACAUUAAAUUGUAAUAAUUAUGAGUACUGCUAACUAUGAGAUAGACAUUAAUAAUUCUGCCUCUUCCUUUGCUCUGUGUUUUCCUCCUAUCCUUAGCAGCCUCCCCUACAAAUUUUCUAACUAGAAAAACGCAUGUGCUAUUCUUGUGUCCGCAGCG